UGUGAUCUCAACACAAUGUACCCAUCCAAGUUCAAGAUUGGAAUCAUGUUAGUGAAGAUGUGAAGGAAAAUAUUUGGGCCUUAGUAUUGGAAAAAUAUGAACUAGAAGAAACAUAUGAGGAGAGAU